AAUGUAAAAGGAAUAUCCAAAAUAUUUAAAUGACAAACAGGAUGGGAACUGAUUAUGAGGAAUAUGCUGAAACAGACAUCUGGCAUAUUCCUAUAAUCAGUAUCAUGGCCUUUGUAUACAACAAAAUUGAUUGGAACUCCUAGACUAGAAAUAUAAUUCAAGAUUUAAAUAAGGCACUGGUCAUAGUUUUAGAAAGUGUGGCUAGCAUUCUGAAGGAAGACAGAGAGAUGGGAAGACAUCAAAGAAUGGACAGGUCUGCCAUGAAAUGGUUUAUCCAGGGCUAAGUACAGAGAGGAAUAUAGAAGGGCUGUUGACAGAUCUUGUGUGGUGCCCCCAAGGUUCAACAGACUGA